rnacentral:rRNA from 1 species
GACGAACGCUGGCGGCGUGCUUAACACAUGCAAGUCGUACGGUAAGGCCCUUUCGGGGGUCCACGAGUGGCGAACGGGUGAGUAACACGUGAGUAACCUGCCCACAACUUUGGGAUAACGCUAGGAAACUGGUGCUAAUACUGGAUAUGUGCCCCUGCUGCAUGGUGGGGGUUGGAAAGCUCCGGCGGUUGUGGAUGGACUCGCGGCCUAUCAGCUUGUUGGUGGGGUAGUGGCCUACCAAGGCGGCGACGGGUAGCCGGCCUGAGAGGGUGACCGGCCACAUUGGGACUGAGAUACGGCCCAGACUCCUACGGGAGGCAGCAGUGGGGAAUAUUGCACAAUGGGCGCAAGCCUGAUGCAGAACGCCGCGUGCGGGAUGACGGCCUUCGGGUUGUAAACCGCUUUCAGCAGGGACGAAGCUUUUUGUGACGGUACCUGCAGAAGAAGCACCGGCUAACUACGUG